UUUAGUCUCUGGGAGACUGGGGUGCAGGGUCGUCUCCAGCGUCUGGGGCUUGACCUAACCUGUCUGCGUUCCCUUGGGCAG
rnacentral:miRNA from 1 species